ACCUACGGGGGGCAGCAGUGGGGAAUAUUGCACAAUGGGGGAAACCCUGAUGCAGCAACGCCGCGUGAGUGAAGAAGGUUUUCGGAUUGUAAAGCUCUGUUAGCAGGGAAGAGGAAGGACGGUACCUGCAGAGGAAGCCACGGCUAACUACGUGCCAGCAGCCGCGGUAAUACGGAGGAUGCGAGCGUUAUCCGGAUUUAUUGGGUUUAAAGGGUGCGUAGGCGGAUUUUUAAGUCAGCGGUAAAAUGUCCGGGCUCAACCCGGGCCGGCCGUUGAAACUGGGGAUCUUGAGUGGGCGAGAAGUA
rnacentral:rRNA from 1 species